rnacentral:rRNA from 1 species
AGUGAACGCUGGCGGUAGGCCUAACACAUGCAAGUCGAACGGCAGCACAGUAAGAGCUUGCUCUUACGGGUGGCGAGUGGCGGACGGGUGAGGAAUACAUCGGAAUCUACUUUUUCGUGGGGGAUAACGUAGGGAAACUUAUGCUAAUACCGCAUACGACCUACGGGUGAAAGCAGGGGAUCUUCGGACCUUGCGCGAUUGAAUGAGCCGAUGUCGGAUUAGCUAGUUGGCGGGGUAAAGGCCCACCAAGGCGACGAUCCGUAGCUGGUCUGAGAGGAUGAUCAGCCACACUGGAACUGAGACACGGCCCAGACUCCUACGGGAGGCAGCAGUGGGGAAUAUUGGACAAUGGGCGCAAGCCUGAUCCAGCCGUACCGCGUGGGUGAAGAAGGCCUUCGGGUUGUAAAGCCCUUUUGUUGGGAAAGAAAAGCAGCAGGUUAAUACCCCGCUGUUCUGACGGUACCCAAAGAAUAAGCACCGGCUAACUUCGUG